rnacentral:rRNA from 1 species
ACGGCUGAGUAACACGUGGGCAACCUGCCCCUCUCAUUGGGAUAGCCACGGGAAACCGUGGAUAAUACCGAAUACUUCGAGACCUCCGCAUGGAAGACUCGAGAAAGCUCCGGCGGAGAGGGAUGGGCCCGCGGCCUGUUAGCUUGUUGGUGGGGUAACGGCCUACCAAGGCAAUGAUGGGUAGCUGGGUUGAGAGACCGACCAGCCAGAUUGGGACUGAGACACGGCCCAGACUCCUACGGGAGGCAGCAGUGGGGAAUCUUGCACAAUGGGCGAAAGCCUGAUGCAGCGACGCCGCGUGCGGGAUGAAGGCCUUCGGGUUGUAAACCGCUUUCAGCAGGGACGAGGCGAAAGUGACGGUACCUGCAGAAGAAGCCCCGGCUAACUACGUGCCAGCAGCCGCGGUAAUACGUAGGGGGCAAGCGUUAUCCGGAUUCAUUGGGCGUAAAGCGCUCGUAGGCGGUCUGUUAGGUCGGGAGUUAAAUCCGGGGGCUCAACCCCCGCUCGCUCCCGAUACCGGCAGACUUGAGUUUGGUAGGGGAAGGUGGAAUUCCUAGUGUAGCGGUGGAAUGCGCAGAUAUUAGGAAGAACACCAGUGGCGAAGGCGGCCUUCUGGGCCAUAACUGACGCUGAGGAGCGAAAGCUAGGGGAGCAAACAGGAUUAGAUACCCUGGUAGUCCUAGCCGUAAAC